rnacentral:lncRNA from 1 species
AGUGGAUAUGGGCGUGGCUCUAUUUAUUUGAGCUCGUGCUGUGCGUUGAACGCGGAAGAGGAACACGAAGCCUGGAAAUCCUAAAUCACUGACACUCCGCGUUUUGAACACUUCGUAGUCAAUAUACACAAAGAUGUGGCCAAAUCAAGGCCCUCCUCCUCCAAUGGGUCCACAAAAUCCUGCUUACCCUCCUGGGUACAACCCUGCCAAUCCUGUUGUCCCACCAGCUGGAUUCUACACCCAGCCUCCAAAUCCAGCAUGCCCACCUUACCCAUAUGGAGCAGGCGUGAACCCAGCAAUGGGACCAUGUGCACCUCCCGGGGCAAUGCCUUACAAAACUCCUGGAUCAUCUCAACUUUACCCUGUAGCUCCAGGUGCAUAUCCAAUGGUCCCUGGUGCUGGGGUUUACCCAGGUCAAUAUCCAAAGUCUCCGAAAGGGGAUCACCAUAAAAAACAUAAAGAUCACAAAAAACACAAAGGUCAUCAUAAAGGAGGAGCUUAUCCAAUGGCUGGAGGAAUGGCAGGGAUGGCUGGAAUGGCAGCGAUGGGAAUGGCGAUGUCGGGUGGCAAAGUCCACAAAAAGAUGAAGGUCAAGAAGAUGAAAAAGGCUCACAAGCAUCUCAAAGGGCACAAACAUGGCAAAUCAUCCAGCAGCAGCAGCAGUAGCAGCAGCAGCAGCAGCAGUGACUGAGACAUCUACCUUAAACUCCUGGGAUUGCCUAAACUACGGGGUCUUCAGAUCCACGUCUUCCUCUAUAGGGGUGUGGCAGAAACAAAACACUGUGACUGCUGUGAACACACAUCAAUACAGUGUUUGAAAACCUAUUACAUUAACUGGCUGUCAAAAGUGUCAAUGAUUUAAAAAUAAUUAGUAGAUUUUGAGAAUGCAUGUAUUCAUGAAUAGGAUGCUAUGUAAUAUAAUAUUUAACAGAAAUAUCUCUGUUUCAGCACUACUCUGGAAAUGAUUUAUUGUUUUAUUAUAUCUUUCUGUCUUUUUUGUAAAUAACAAAUAAAUGCCUUCA